UACGUAGGGUGCAAGCGUUGUCCGGAAUUAUUGGGCGUAAAGAGCUCGUAGGCGGUUUGUUGCAUCGGCUGUGAAAUCCCGAGGCUCAACCUCGGGUCUGCAGUCGAUACGAGCAAACUAGAGUGUUGCAGGGAGACUGGAAUUCCUGGUGUAGCGGUGGAAUGCGCAGAUAUCAGGAGGAACACCGAUGGCGAAGGCAG
rnacentral:rRNA from 1 species